rnacentral:rRNA from 1 species
GCUCCAAUAGCGUAUAUUAAAGUUGUUGCAGUUAAAAAGCUCGUAGUUGGAUUUCUGGGGAGGUGCCAAUGUCACCUUAGUGUUGCGCAGCGGCGCCUCUCCAUCCUUCUGUUAACGUCGUUGGACCUUAAUCAGUCUGCGGCGGGCUCAGAUAUUUUACCUUGAGAAAAUUAGAGUGUUUCAGGCAGGCCAGGCCGGAA